AGUGAUGAAGGCCUUCGGGUCGUAAAGCUCUGUCGCAGGGGAAUAACACAAUGAAUGUACCCUGUAAGAAAGGAUCGGCUAACUUCGUGC
rnacentral:rRNA from 1 species